CUCGCUCGCGCUGCACUUGCUCGCCGCCGUGCCGCAGAUACGCAUCAGACAUGACCCGGAUAUAAGACUUAAUAUAAGAAUCGGUAUUCAUACAGGGCCGUGUUCUGCGGGUGUGGUCGGGUACCGGCCGCCACGUUACUGCUUGUUCGGUGACACAGUACGCACAGCUGCGCGCGUGCAGGCGGCCGGCGAGCCGCAGCGCGUACACGUCAGCCAUGACACAUACCUCACACUGCGCAAACAUGGCGGAUAUCACUUCAAGGAAAGAACUCUCACUAAUGUCAAAGGCCAUCGACAAAACAAGACAUGGUGGUUAGUUGGUGAAGAUCAUGAAAGGAGAAAGGAGCCCUUCUAUCGUUUCCAACCCGGCCUAAACCGCGGUUCAGCGUGUGCCAGUUACGCUGACAGUUCUUGGGGUCUGGAGCGUUCAAUAUUGAACAUUAGGGACAGGGCCCGACUGUCUUGCGGAGGUUCUUUAGGUCCCGGCUCCGCGCUGUCAUCUCCGGGCCCUCCCGCCUGCGCCUGUUUCGUCCCACAAAGGGACCAUCACUCGGCACCUGUUGUCUCAUUCUGCGAAGACUGACCUUAAUAUAAUAAAUGGAGGAAUGUAUCCGUUACAAGUGCAGUAAUUCACGAAUGACUCCAAUCAUAACCUCAAAACAGUAUAACCAGUGAAAAAGUUAAAAUAACUGUUAUUAAUUGUGCACUACUCUGUGACUA